rnacentral:lncRNA from 10 species
AUUGCCAGCGUCCUGACGUCACAGAAGCCCUCUGUCCUCCUCACUUUGCGUGGCGUCAACACGGACAGCGGCAGUGUCUGCAGGGAGGCCUCCUUUGACGGCAUCAGCAAGUUCGAAGUCAACAAUACCAUUCUUCACCCAGAGAUCGUUGAGUGCUGGGAGCUCUGACUCGCCUCGUCUUAGAGCUUGGGACCAAGGAGGUAUCCUGAAAGAUGAAUGGGCAUCGGCUGUGGAAAAAGAAGGAGUAGGAGAGAGUGACCCUGGCAAAAGGACCACUCGUUCACAGAAACAAGAGAAAGGGUGGUGGCUCUGUGUGGCCAGUGCGGAGCCAGGGAGCAGAGCCCGAGAACAGUUGGAGAGACAGGCAGUGGCUGGCCGAGUGUUUAAGACGGAUAUGGAGCUGGAGGUUCUGCGCUAUACCAAUAAAAUCUCCAGCGAGGCCCACCGUGAGGUAAUGAAGGCUGUAAAAGUGGGAAUGAAAGAAUAUGAGUUGGAAAGGUAAGCCACCAUGUUUCUCCGGGUAAAAUUAAAAGGUAAAAAACAGUAA